GAUUUUUUACCACUCAGAUUCAUACCCACCAGUGACGAUUCAUACUACGAUUCCCUUUUACAACUCAGAUUCAAGACGACGAUUCAGUGACAUAUGGAAUUCGGAGGAGCCUAAAGCCUGGCCUCUGUUUGCCGGUUGAGCAGAUCCUCAAGAAGUGUUGUGCACAGAGAGGGGGAUUAUCACCGAGUUGUUUAUGUGUGGAUUUUUGCUGAAAGUACACAAGAACUUUUUCUCCAAUGACGUGCCGAUUGCAAGGAUUCGUGGCCUGGAUUCUGGGAUAUCUCCAGUGCAGGUCAUGUAUCUGGUGGAGAUACAUCGCUAAUCACUGCUAGGCCCUGAAUCUCUUCCAAGUCAAGGAGCUUCGAUUUACAGGUUUACAUCUUCAGUCCAUUGCUUAUUUUUUAUUUUCGAUUGCAAUUGAUUGUUUGUUUGCCUCUACGUUUCAUAUAUGUAUAGCAAUCGGUACCACAGUGUGUAGUGACAGAAAAGAAUUCUUUUCAGGUUUGGGUGUCUCCUCUACAAAACCAAACAGCAUUUCUGUGGAAGCCGCCCAACCAAAAGUUGUAGGGAAGCAUUUGAUUUUUUGUUUACAUUUGUGUAGAAGGCCCAAUCAACAUUCGAUUCUUUGCUUGCCAAAACUGGGAAAAACUUAAUUUUUUUUAAUAUCCAUAUAUCUUUUUUAUGAUGCUUUUGUCUCUUGGAGAGAAAGGGAAAAACACUUUUGUUUUGAGUCAUUCCAUACAACCAAACAGAUUUGACUGUGAUGCUUCAUCAUAGAGAAAUGGAAAUGAGAAGGUAUGGUGUUCAUCAUCAAAAUUUACACUAAAAGUUCAUUUUUCAAAAGAACAAGUAGUCAUGAAAACUCUGAGAGAAAUAUACACAUACACAUAUAGUAGGGUUUCAGAAGAAGAGGGACACAUACUUGGCAUAUAUUUCAAAAGUACUUGGACAGCCGCUGCUCUCAAAGAAGAAUGGUUCUGUUUUCAACUUACUGUCAGCAACAACCGCUACUCUUGUUCAUCAUCGAAACGUUGGUUGUCUUAAUUAUCUAAUUUCACUUUUGGAGAAUUGGGAAUGCAUGUACCCAUUUCAUAUUUAUUCUUAUUUUUAUAUGCAUGAUUCCUUCAUUUUUUUUAACAUGUUUAAGUGUUCGUGUGUGUAAAUGUUUGUCCCAAUGGCUUACCAUCUUUAUUUAUAUGUGCUAUUUCGCAUGGUUGGCACACUUGAAACAUUUCAGGAUGGAAAUCCAAAUUGUUUUUAGAAAUCCAAAAUGUUUUUAGACAAAUCAUUCAUGUUAUGUGCAUUUGGGUUCUAUAAAGUCCAUAUGGUAUUGUUUUCAUUUCUGUUGGGUUUAUACACUUGUUCAUGGUUUACAGUUUGAUUGUUUGAGGGAUAGACUUUCUGAGUAGGCUUAUUCAAUCUUUUUUAUUUUUGGAUUUCAGAGAAGAUAUAUCGUAGAAGUUGUGGCUUGAUGAAUGAUUCAGGUAAUGGGCUAAAAUUAUUUUUGUUGACAUGAUUUGAUUUGGUUUAUGUGCAAUGACUUUUGAAAUCUCGGCAGUAGAAAUGCCCUAGGAUCCGGUAAACAUUUAGUGAAUGGCCGAGUGUUACAACACUACUUAUAGUUAUCUAAUGAUUUGACAGUGGAUUUAGGCAAAUCCCUAUCCCAAGAACGAUGUA